UACGUAGGGGGCAAGCGUUGUCCGGAAUCAUUGGGCGUAAAGCGCGUGUAGGCGGCUUGGUAAGUCCGGUGUGAAACCUUGGGGCUCAACCCCAAGCCUGCAUCGGAAACUGCCUCGCUCGAGUCCGGGAGGGGAGAGCGGAAUUCCUAGUGUAGCGGUGAAAUGCGCAGAUAUUAGGAAGAACACCGGUGGCGAAGGCGGCUCUCUGGAACGGUACUGACGCUGAGACGCGAAAGCGUGGGGAGCGAACGAGGA
rnacentral:rRNA from 1 species